AACGAACGCUGGCGGCAUGCCUAACACAUGCAAGUCGAACGAGACCUUCGGGUCUAGUGGCGCACGUGUGCGUAACGCGUGGGAACCUGCCCUUAGGUUCGGAAUAACUCCCCGAAAGGGGUGCUAAUACCGGUUAAUGUCUUCGGACCAAAGAUUUAUCGCCUUUGGAUGGGCCCGCGUUGGAUUCGCUAGUUGGUAGGGUAAAAGCCUACCAAGGCGACGAUCCAUAGCUGGUCUGAGAGGAUGAUCAGCCACACUGGGACUGAGACACGGACCAGAAUGCUACGGGAGGCAGCAGUGGGGAAUAUUGGACAAUGGGCGAAAGCCUGAUCAAGCAAUGCGGCGUGAGUGAUGAAGGCCUUAGGGUUGUAAAGCUCUUUUACCCGGGAUGAUAAUGACAGUACCGGGAGAAUAAGCUCCGGCUAACUCCGUG
rnacentral:rRNA from 1 species